AUUGAACGCUGGCGGCAUGCGUAACACAUGCAAGUCGAACGGUGUUUGGUGCUUGCACCAGACAUAGUGGCGGACGGGUGAGUAAUGCGUAGGAAUCUGUCUUAGAGAGGGGGACAACCCGAGGAAACUUGGGCUAAAACCGCAUAUUCUCGAGAGAGGAAAGCAGGGGACCGGAAACGGCCUUGUGCUCUAAGGUGAGCCUACGUCGGAUUAGCUAGUUGGUAGGGUAAAAGCCUACCAAGGCGAUGAUCUGUAGCUGGUCUGAGAGGACGGACAGCCACACUGGGACUGAGACACGGCCCAGACUCCUACGGGAGGCAGCAGUGGGGAAUAUUGGACAAUGGGGGAACCCUGAUCCAGCGAUGCCGCGUGUGUGAAGAAGGCCUGCGGGUUGUAAAGCACUUCCAGUGGGAAAGAGAAGCGUCUUGUGAAUAAUGGGACGUGGAGACGUUACUCACAGAAGAAGCACCGGCUAAACUCUGUGCCAGCAGCCG
rnacentral:rRNA from 1 species